rnacentral:rRNA from 1 species
CCUACGGGAGGCAGCAGUGAGGAAUAUUGGUCAAUGGGCGCAAGCCUGACCCAGCAAAGCCGCGUGAAGGAUGAAGGCUCUAGGGUUGUUAACUUCCUUUUACAGGGAAGUGUAGAAGACGGUACCUGUCUUAUUAGCUACGGCUAACUACGUGCAAGCAGCCGCGUUCAUACGUAGGUGGCAAGCGUUGUCCGGAUUUAGUGGGUGUAACGGGUGUGUAGCCGGGUUGACAAGUCAGAUGUGAAAGUCUGCGGCUUAACCGCAGAACUGCAAUUGAUACUGUGGAUCGUGAGUACUGGGGAGGCAGGCGGAAUUCCUGGUGUAGCGGUGAAAUGCCUAGAUAGUAGGAAGAACACCAGUGGCGAAGGCGGUCUGCUGGACAGCAACUGACGGUGAGGCGCGAAAGCGUGGGGAGCAAACAGGAUUAGAUACCCCAGUAGUC